GGGUUGUGAGGUUAAGCGACUAAGCGUACACGGUGGAUGCCCUGGCAGUCAGAGGCGAUGAAGGACGUGCUAAUCUGCGAUAAGCGCCGGUAAGGUGAUAUGAACCGUUAUAACCGGCGAUUUCCGAAUGGGGAAACCCAGUGUGACUCGUCACACUAUCAUUAACUGAAUCCAUAGGUUAAUGAGGCGAACCGGGGGAACUGAAACAUCUAAGUACCCCGAGGAAAAGAAAUCAACCGAGAUUCCCCCAGUAGCGGCGAGCGAACGGGGAGGAGCCCAGAGCCUGAAUCAGCAUGUGUGUUAGUGGAAGCGUCUGGAAAGGCGCGCGAUACAGGGUGACAGCCCCGUACACAAAAGCGCAUGUGCUGUGAGCUCGAUGAGUAGGGCGGGACACGUGGUAUCCUGUCUGAAUAUGGGGGGACCAUCCUCCAAGGCUAAAUACUCCUGACUGACCGAUAGUGAACCAGUACCGUGAGGGAAAGGCGAAAAGAACCCCGGCGAGGGGAGUGAAAAAGAACCUGAAACCGUGUACGUACAAGCAGUGGGAGCACCCUUUGGGGUGUGACUGCGUACCUUUUGUAUAAUGGGUCAGCGACUUAUAUUCUGUAGCAAGGUUAACCGUAUAGGGGAGCCGUAGGGAAACCGAGUCUUAACCGGGCGUUAAGUUGCAGGGUAUAGACCCGAAACCCGGUGAUCUAGCCAUGGGCAGGUUGAAGGUUGGGUAACACUAACUGGAGGACCGAACCGACUAAUGUUGAAAAAUUAGCGGAUGACCUGUGGCUGGGGGUGAAAGGCCAAUCAAACCGGGAGAUAGCUGGUUCUCCCCGAAAGCUAUUUAGGUAGCGCCUCGUGAAUUCAUCUCCGGGGGUAGAGCACUGUUUCGGCUAGGGGGCCAUCCCGGCUUACCAACCCGAUGCAAACUGCGAAUACCGGAGAAUGUUAUCACGGGAGACACACGGCGGGUGCUAACGUCCGUCGUGAAGAGGGAAACAACCCAGACCGCCAGCUAAGGUCCCAAAGUCAUGGUUAAGUGGGAAACGAUGUGGGAAGGCCCAGACAGCCAGGAUGUUGGCUUAGAAGCAGCCAUCAUUUAAAGAAAGCGUAAUAGCUCACUGGUCGAGUCGGCCUGCGCGGAAGAUGUAACGGGGCUAAACCAUGCACCGAAGCUGCGGCAGCGAACGUAUAACCCAAGACAACUUUACGGAGUUGACGAUUGACGGAGCGAAGCGACGUCAAAGCGUUCAUUAAAGUCGAGUUGGCUUAGGGAUACGUUCGUUGGGUAGGGGAGCGUUCUGUAAGCCUGUGAAGGUGUGUCGUGAGGCAUGCUGGAGGUAUCAGAAGUGCGAAUGCUGACAUAAGUAACGAUAAAGCGGGUGAAAAGCCCGCUCGCCGGAAGACCAAGGGUUCCUGUCCAACGUUAAUCGGGGCAGGGUGAGUCGACCCCUAAGGCGAGGCCGAAAGGCGUAGUCGAUGGGAAACGGGUUAAUAUUCCCGUACUUGGUGUUACUGCGAAGGGGGGACGGAGAAGGCUAUGUUGGCCGGGCGACGGUUGUCCCGGUUUAAGCGUGUAGGUGUGUGUUCCAGGUAAAUCCGGUUCACUUUAACACUGAGGCGUGACGACGAGGCACUACGGUGCUGAAGCAACAAAUGCCCUGCUUCCAGGAAAAGCCUCUAAGCAUCAGGUAACAUCAAAUCGUACCCCAAACCGACACAGGUGGUCAGGUAGAGAAUACCAAGGCGCUUGAGAGAACUCGGGUGAAGGAACUAGGCAAAAUGGUGCCGUAACUUCGGGAGAAGGCACGCUGACACGUAGGUGAAGUGAUUUACUCAUGGAGCUGAAGUCAGUCGAAGAUACCAGCUGGCUGCAACUGUUUAUUAAAAACACAGCACUGUGCAAACACGAAAGUGGACGUAUACGGUGUGACGCCUGCCCGGUGCCGGAAGGUUAAUUGAUGGGGUCAGCGCAAGCGAAGCUCCUGAUCGAAGCCCCGGUAAACGGCGGCCGUAACUAUAACGGUCCUAAGGUAGCGAAAUUCCUUGUCGGGUAAGUUCCGACCUGCACGAAUGGCGUAAUGAUGGCCAGGCUGUCUCCACCCGAGACUCAGUGAAAUUGAACUCGCUGUGAAGAUGCAGUGUACCCGCGGCAAGACGGAAAGACCCCGUGAACCUUUACUAUAGCUUGACACUGAACAUUGAGCCUUGAUGUGUAGGAUAGGUGGGAGGCUUUGAAGUGUGGACGCCAGUCUGCAUGGAGCCGACCUUGAAAUACCACCCUUUAAUGUUUGAUGUUCUAACGUGGACCCGUUACCCGGGUUGCGGACAGUGUCUGGUGGGUAGUUUGACUGGGGCGGUCUCCUCCUAAAGAGUAACGGAGGAGCACGAAGGUUGGCUAAUCCUGGUCGGACAUCAGGAGGUUAGUGCAAUGGCAUAAGCCAGCUUGACUGCGAGCGUGACGGCGCGAGCAGGUGCGAAAGCAGGUCAUAGUGAUCCGGUGGUUCUGAAUGGAAGGGCCAUCGCUCAACGGAUAAAAGGUACUCCGGGGAUAACAGGCUGAUACCGCCCAAGAGUUCAUAUCGACGGCGGUGUUUGGCACCUCGAUGUCGGCUCAUCACAUCCUGGGGCUGAAGUAGGUCCCAAGGGUAUGGCUGUUCGCCAUUUAAAGUGGUACGCGAGCUGGGUUUAGAACGUCGUGAGACAGUUCGGUCCCUAUCUGCCGUGGGCGCUGGAGAACUGAGGGGGGCUGCUCCUAGUACGAGAGGACCGGAGUGGACGCAUCACUGGUGUUCGGGUUGUCAUGCCAAUGGCACUGCCCGGUAGCUAAAUGCGGAAGAGAUAAGUGCUGAAAGCAUCUAAGCACGAAACUUGCCCCGAGAUGAGUUCUCCCUGAGACUUAGAGUCUCCUGAAGGAACGUUGAAGACGACGACGUUGAUAGGCCGGGUGUGUAAGCGCAGCGAUGCGUUGAGCUAACCGGUACUAAUGAACCGUGAGGCUUAACCUUACAACGCCGAAG
rnacentral:rRNA from 1 species